UUUAUAUUCCAGUAUCACACUUGCUCAGAACGAAGCUAUAGCUAGAGAGAUUGGGAGAAGUAGGGGUGCAAGCUGAUCGAUUGAUCGAUUUGGCCAUGCAUUUCCAAGCCGCCUUCUUCCUCUACUUCCUCCUCGACCUCGGCGGCUACCGCAGCGACGUCCUCUCCGUCUCCGACCUCGAGCCGCCCUCCGACGGCCUCUUCGUCGUCGGCCUCACCGGAGGCCUCGACGCCGACGAGCUAGCCGCCGUGGCGCUCCAGGGCCACGACCUCUCCCUCGCCGGCUUCGCCAACCGGACGCGCCACUGGCACGCCUUCCGCGGCCGCGAGGGCCUCGUCCCGUCCGCGGCCAGCGUCCUCCCCUUCGGCGGCGACACCUACCGCGACCUCAUCGGCGGCAUCCAGAACCUCCCCGGCGUCCCCCUCGGCCGCGACGCCAUGGUGCGCGCCGCCCGCGUGCUCUCCUCCUACGACCCGGCGGCGUUCGCCGCCGAGGGGAACGAGGUGGAGGAGCUCGGGCGGGCGCUGGCGGCGGUGACGGUGAUGAUCAGCGAGGCGGCGCGGGUGAAGCCGAUCAACGAGACCGUGUCGAGCGGGUGGGGGGGGGGGGGGGGGGGAGGCCCGCGUCGCCGCCGAGCACCUGCCGUACAUCGAGCACUGGGACACCAUGUCGUUCGAGCUCCUCCGCUUGAGGCGCACCGGGAGGUGGGACGGCCCGUUCACCGAGCUGCUGAGGAAGGACGCCGGCAUCGGCGGCGCGGAGGAGGCGGGCGCCGUCGCCGGCGUGCUGAUCGAUCGCGACCUGGAGGAGCUGCAGCUUGCUCACGGCAUCUGAUCACUGCAGCUUGCAGUGCUUGCUUGCUUCAUCGUCUCACGCGCGGCUGCUCGCUGAAUAAAAAUAUUGUUGUGUGUUGUGAUGUUGUGUUUUGUGUUUUCAGAUCAAAGUGUUUAGAACUUAAUUUGGUGAGCCGCCUCUGACGAUUAUUAUGCAGUAAAUGUUUUGUGCCUCAGUGCUGUUUACUGAUGGGAGUUCCGUUUCAUACAGAUUGGUAUUGUGAUGGUUAAUCCAAAUUAAAUUCAGCAUCAAAA